ensembl:misc_RNA Y_RNA Y RNA
GGCCGUUCCGAGUGCAGUGGUGUUUACACCUAAUUGGUCACAACCAGUUGCAGAUUCCUUUCUUGUCUACUCCCAUUGCUUCACGUGAGUAGCCUUAA